UAGGUAUACCAGUGCAAUUUCAUAGAUAUAGCCUAUGGGAUAACAGGAUCAUCUCAGUAAUAUUUUUAAGUUAAUUAUUUAAAUUUUAUUAUAAUAUUUGUAUUUAGAGUAUGUAUAGUACAGUUUAUACUGCAGAACUUCUUCUUUAUCGUAUAUAUAAUAGAUUUAUAGAAACAAUUGCGACAAAAGUAGCUUGGCAAAUACAAAAUAUUGAGAAACUAUCACGUAUAAGUAUAAACUACACGCGAUUAUUAUUGCGCCUUUGGCUUUGAAUAAUUAUUCGCCGAAGGCGAGGCCGUGAUUAUCCGGGAAUUUGUAGUCUCCCUCGCAGGCGCCCGAGUUGUGUACGUUCUCUCUGAUGUCUGCGAAGGAGGCUAGGGAAUUUGUCAAAUUUGACCAAUCAACUUGACAACUUGUAGGAUUUGUUGUACUAUUUAUUCACUUGCGCAAAAAUACUAAUGACGGUAUUGUUCAUCUUUGCAUAAUAGUUUACACCGGUUUAACGCCUGCCCAAAUAGGCUGUGUUUACAAUGUAUUUUGUCUGUGUCAGUUUUAGCUUUUAAUAAAUGUAUUCAGCCAUAGUGAACACGAAAACUCUCAU